CCUACGGGAGGCAGCAGUGGGGAAUAUUGCACAAUGGGGGAAACCCUGAUGCAGCAACGCCGCGUGAGUGAAGAAGUAUUUCGGGAUGUAAAGCUCUAUCAGUAGGGAAGAAGAAAGACGGUACCUGACUAAGAAGCCCCGGCUAACUACGUGCCAGCAGCCGCGGUAAAACGGAGGGGGCAAGCGUUCUCCGGAUUUACUGGGUGUAAAGGGAGCGUAGACGGUUGUGCAAGUCUGAAGUGAAAGCCCGUGGCUCAACCGCGGAACUGCUUUGGAACCUGUAUAGCUGGAGUACUGGAGAGGCAGGCGGAAUUCCUAGUGUAGCGGUGAAAUGCGUAGAUAUUAGGAGGAACACCAGUGGCGAAGGCGGCCUGCUGGACAGAAACUGACGUUGAGGCUCGAAAGCGUGGGGAGCAAACAGGAUUAGCUACCCCAGUAGUC
rnacentral:rRNA from 1 species